rnacentral:rRNA from 1 species
AACGAACGCUGGCGGCAUGCCUAACACAUGCAAGUCGAACGAGACCUUCGGGUCUAGUGGCGCACGGGUGCGUAACGCGUGGGAACCUGCCUUGAGGUUCGGAAUAACUCCCCGAGAGGGGUGCUAAUACCGGAUGAUGUCUUCGGACCAAAGAUUUAUCGCCUUUAGAUGGGCCCGCGUUGGAUUAGCUAGUUGGUGGGGUAAAGGCCUACCAAGGCGACGAUCCAUAGCUGGUCUGAGAGGAUGAUCAGCCACACUGGGACUGAGACACGGCCCAGACUCCUACGGGAGGCAGCAGUGGGGAAUAUUGGACAAUGGGCGAAAGCCUGAUCCAGCAAUGCCGCGUGAGUGAUGAAGGCCUUAGGGUUGUAAAGCUCUUUUACCCGGGAUGAUAAUGACAGUACCGGGAGAAUAAGCUCCGGCUAACUCCGUGCCAGCCGCCGCCGUAACAC